AAUCAACGCUGGCGGCGUGCCUCAGACAUGCAAGUCGAACGCGAAAGGUUCCUUCGGGAGCCGAGUAGAGUGGCGCUCGGGUGAGUAACACGUAGGUAAUUUGCCUUUGGGUGGGGAAUAACAAUCGGAAACGGUUGCUAAUACCGCAUAAUGCAGCGGCUCGACAUCGAGACAGUUGUUAAAGCGGGGGAGUCCUUCGGGACCUCGCGCCUAAAGAGAAGCCUGCGGCGGAUUAGCUAGUUGGUGAGGUAAUGGCUCACCAAGGCGACGAUCCGGUAACCGGCCGUGAGAGGGCGGACGGUCACACUGACACUUAAAUACGGGUCAGACUCCUACGGGAGGCAGCAGUCGGGAAUUUUGGGCAAUGGGCGAAAGCCUGACCCAGCAACGCCGCGUGAAGGAUGAAAUCCCUCGGGAUGUAAAC
rnacentral:rRNA from 1 species